GCAUCAGUAGUGGUUACAACUUAACCAUUACAUUUCAUAUGAUGAAGCAACCUCAUGAUCUAUACUGAUUAAUUAUGUUGCGCCAAUGUGAAUUUCUUCGGAAAAUCACAUCGGAAAUCUGAUGUCAUCCCAAAUUACUGAUGCCAAAUUUUAAUAAUGUUAUAAUCAAUCCGAUGAAUAUAUCGAAAUCUCUCUGGGAACGUUCAAUUCGUUCAGAAUUCAACUAUUAAAACGAUAUAAAAUCAUGGUUUACCAGAACCAAAUACAUUCCU